ACCCAAAAGAAGUUAAAUAAGACCCAAGCAAAACAUAAAGACUAGACCACCAACUAUGACAGUCAGUGGCAGAACCGGAAAAAAUAUUGUGGGUGGGCCGACAAAUAGUCGAUCUAUUUUCGAAUUGAAUUUUUUGGUCCCUCUAUUUUGGUACCAACAAUCUAUAUUUUUACUCUAAAAAUUGUGAUUUUUGGCCAUAAAGGUGAUUUAUUGUCUCCAAAUAUGAAA
rnacentral:lncRNA from 1 species